rnacentral:rRNA from 1 species
CCUACGGGGGCAGCAGUGAGGAAUAUUGGUCAAUGGCCGGAAGGCUGAACCAGCCAUGCCGCGUGAAGGUCAGUGCCCUAUGGGCGUUAAACGUCUUUUGUGCGGGGGCAAUAAUGGUCACGUGUGGCCAGACGAGAGUACCGUACGAAUAAGCAUCGGCUUACUCCGUGCCAGCAGCCGCGGUAAUACGGGGGAUGCAAGCGUUAUCCGGAUUUAUUGGGGUUAAAGGGUGCCUGGAUGGGUUGUUAAGUCAGUUGGUAAAGUGUGCGGCUUAACCGGAAAAUUGCAAUUGAUACUGGCAGCCUUGAGUACAGUUGAGGUAGGCGGAAUUCGUGGUGUAGCGGUGAAAUGCUUAGAUAUCACGAAGAACUCCGAUUGCGAAGGCAGCCCACUAAACUGCCACUGACAUUGAGGCUCGAAAGUGUGGGUAUCAAACAGGAUUAGAUACCCUUGUAGUC